rnacentral:rRNA from 1 species
AUUGAACGCUGGCAGCAUGCCUUACACAUGCAAGUCGAACGGCAGCACGGGAGCAAUCCUGGUGGCGAGUGGCGAACGGGUGAGUAAAGUAUCGGAACGUGCCCAGUCGUGGGGGAUAACGUAGCGAAAGUUACGCUAAUACCGCAUACGAUCUAUGGAUGAAAGCGGGGGAUCGCAAGACCUCGCGCGAUUGGAGCGGCCGAUAUCAGAGUAGGUAGUUGGUGGGGUAAAGGCUCACCAAGCCGCCGAUCUGUAGCUGGUCUGAGAGGACGACCAGCCACACUGGGACUGAGACACGGCCCAGACUCCUACGGGAGGCAGCAGUGGGGAAUUUUGGACAAUGGGCGCAAGCCUGAUCCAGCCAUGCCGCGUGCAGGAUGAAGGCCUUCGGGUUGUAAACUGCUUUUGUACGGAACGAAAAGGUUUGACUUAAUACGUUGGACUCAUGACGGUACCGUAAGAAUAAGCACCGGCUAACUACGUGCCAGCCGCCGCCGUAA